rnacentral:rRNA from 1 species
CCUACGGGAGGCAGCAGUGGGGGAUAUUGCACAAUGGGGGGAACCCUGAUGCAGCGACGCCGCGUGAAGGAAGAAGUCUCUCGGUAUGUAAACUUCUAUCAGCAGGGAAGAAAAUUACGGUACCUGACUAAGAAGCCCCUGCUAACUACGUGCCAGCCGCCGCGGUCCUACGUAGGGGGCAAGCGUUAUCCGGAUUUACUGGGUGUAACGGGAGCGUAGGCGGCAGUGCAAGUCAGAAGUGAAAGCCCGGGGCUCAACUCCGGGACUGCUUUUGAAACUGUACAGCUGGAUUGCAGGAGAGGCGAGUGGAAUUCCUAGUGUAGCGGUGAAAUGCGUAGAUAUUAGGAGGAACACCAGUGGCGAAGGCGGCUUGCUGGACUGUAAAUGACGCUGAGGCUCGAAAGCGUGGGGAGCAAACAGGAUUAGAUACCCUUGUAGUC